CCAGCUGGUAAAUCAUCAACGCGCGGGCUGAGUGACGUUCGGGGCACGGGUGUCUGCGCUGGCCCCUGGGAACUCGCUCGCCACCCUAGAGCCUGGGCCUGCUGUGGGGACCUCUGCUUGCUCAGUUCGCGUUUUUCCGAGCUGUGAGCUUUCAAAAGAAGUUGAAAGGCUAAAGCCACCUGCCAGUGUAGAGAUGGGAGAGGGAGUGCAUCUUAUGAUCUGAAAAAUACGGUCAAUGGCCACUGAAUCCAUUUAUAAAACCCACUUGGCCUGGUUCCUCACCCCACUCAGGAUUAUCUGUGUGUACUAACCAUCCUGAACUUGGUGAGUCUACACGAGACCCUGAAACCAAAGUUCUGGUGUCCCGGGCUGUCCAGGGCAGAUCUCCCUGGGACUUGGUGGCUCCUUCUGGCCUGUGGAGCCACGGUGACUCAGCUGGGGGAGAGGACACCCGGGAUCCACGCCCUGAACCGUGAGGUUUUGGUAGCAGCCACGGCCCUGGCAGCUCUUCUUCUUUUCUUCCAUUAUCUGCGCAGAUGAAAGCCAGCGAGUCCUUCAGCAACACUGACAGUUCCGUGAGCUUGAAUCCUGGUGCGGGCGGCCAGCAAAAGUACACAGUCAGCCAAGUGGAGUUUGCUGGAGAUUUAUGCGGAAAUCCAGCCGUAGAGGCAGGACUGCUGGAUUUAUAACAGGGGAGGGAUAAUUUGUUCUCGUGUGCUAAGAUAAGGGUAAACAAAUUUCCUGCUGUGAUGUAAGCCCCUAUCUGCACAAGUCAGGAAAGAUCCCCUGCCCUGUUGCCAAACCGUGUGCUCCACAACUGAUCCGCGGAGACUUCUCUCUCUGAGACUUCAUCUAGAGGCCAGCUAGAGGUGGAAGGACAUGCCUGGGUGCAGACGAGGGGACUCCUGUGUUUUUGGGCACUUCCAAAGCUUGGAAAUAAAAGUGAGCAUGACAGUGGCUAUAGUAUUUGGAAAAUUCUGGAGAGAAGCUGAGGUGGUGUCGAGUAACGACCACCCCUGAACAUGACUGAGGAAAUGUGCCAGCAAAUGCAUGUUUCCAUUUGAGCCCACGACUGGCUUUGGUCCAGCAGUCUCACCCACCUUGGACCUGGCUCUGGCCUUUCUGUUGUCCACAUCAGGUAGAUCAGUGUUCUCUGUCCCCAGAGUUCCUUGUGUAGCUCCCCAGAGGGAGCCCUCAGGGGGCAGUGGCGGUUGGGGGGUUGUCUGUCUCUGUCGCACCUUCCUCCUCUGGAGGACAAAGGCACUGUUUGAUGAUCUGUGUAUCCCUCAUGCAUAAGCUGCUCUACAUGUGCUAUUAACACAGACAUAAGAAAGAAGGCCAGAGCUCUCAGGGUGAAUCUCUUUAAGAAGCACAGGUACUGAAACCAAGGCUCCAGAACCAAGAGAACGACAGCUCUCAUGUCGAGAAGCCGAGGUUCAAGCCUAUGACUGCGUUAGACCACGCAGCUCCACUCUGCCCGAGCUAAUGCUGGGGAACAGAUUCCAGGCUAUACAGUGUCCGUGUUCCUCUGGGGCCUCCUGAGCCUAACACUGGGCCCCCUUUCCCUCACCUGUACAAUAGGGGGUGAUGGACAGAGACCCUGCAGGCUGCUUGUCAGUGGGUGUCAGGAGUGCAGGAGGAGGAGGUACGUAUCUGGGAAACUGAGCUCUUAAGGCUUGAGCAACAUCAAGUGCGAGUCUCUCCAAAAACUGAGCACAGACUUGGGCGUGAGAGACGUGAGCAGGGAGCCGGUCUCCAGCACCAGGCCUGCCAGAGGCAGUCCAUCCCAGCGCCUGCAAGUCCCGUCUAGGACGGCGUAACCAGGUUGGUGUGAUAAAGAACAUGAUCCCUGAAGAUGUGCGUGGUCACAUUUGUGUGCAGAGCAAGGUAGACAUACAUGCAUGUGUGUGCACACAUGGAUACGGUCAUCAAGAAAGUGUGUGUGUGCUUAGCCAGAGACACAAGAGACGCAGGGUAAGAUUCUUUCACAUUGCAGAUCAUAUCAUCAAAACUCUCCACCUUCCCCUACAUGGGACAUUAUAGAUUAUUAAGGUCUCUGGUUAGCAAGUUUCCCUCUGUGUUGUGCUUCUCAUAUUCCUGGUGCAGACAAUGUGUAUAAUACAAUAUAUUACAUUUUGCAGAAAACAAAGAUUAUAUAUAUUAUAUAUAACCUAUAUAAUGUCUUAUAUCUGUAUAUCUAUAGCUAGGUAAUAUCUAUCUAUAUUCUUGCUUUUUUGUCUUAAUUUUUUUCCUGUAUAGAAUAUUUCUGGAAGUUUAUCCAAAAAGCUGGUAAGCAUGGUUGCCUCUGAAUAGGGAUCUAAGGGCCAGAGGCAGGGAAAAGAAUACUUUUUCAUAACACCCUCUUGUAUAUUGUUUGCAUCUUUUAAUCAUGGACAUAGAUUCCUUAUCUGAAACAAUGAACUAAAAAAAAAAAA